rnacentral:rRNA from 1 species
UACGGAGGGUGCAAGCGUUGUCCGGAAUCACUGGGCGUAAAGGGCGUGUAGGCGGCCCGGUAAGUCCGCUGUGAAAGUCCAGGGCUCAACCCUGGGAUGCCGGUGGAUACUGUCGGGCUCGAGUCCGGAAGAGGAGUGUGGAAUUCCUGGUGUAGCGGUGAAAUGCGCAGAUAUCGGGAAGAACACCCGUGGCGAAGGCGGUCUCUGGGACGGUACUGGACGCUGAGACGCGAAAGCGUGGGGAGCGAACAGG